AACGUGCCCUUUGGUUCGGAACAACUCAGGGAAACUUGAGCUAAUACCGGAUGUGCCCUUCGGGGGAAAGAUUUAUCGCCAUUGGAGCGGCCCGCGUCUGAUUAGCUAGUUGGUGGGGUAAAGGCCUACCAAGGCUACGAUCAGUAGCUGGUCUGAGAGGAUGAUCAGCCACACUGGGACUGAGACACGGCCCAGACUCCUACGGGAGGCAGCAGUAGGGAAUCUUGCGCAAUGGGCGAAAGCCUGACGCAGCCAUGCCGCGUGCAG
rnacentral:rRNA from 1 species